AACGAACGCUGGCGGCAGGCCUAACACAUGCAAGUCGAGCGAGGUAGCAAUACCUAGCGGCGGACGGGUGAGUAACGCGUGGGAACGUGCCCCUUGGUACGGAAUAGCCCCGGGAAACUGGGAGUAAUACCGUAUGAGCUCUACGGAGGAAAGAUUUAUCGCCAAGGGAUCGGCCCGCGUUGGAUUAGGUAGUUGGUGGGGUAAUGGCCUACCAAGCCGACGAUCCAUAGCUGGUUUGAGAGGAUGAUCAGCCACACUGGGACUGAGACACGGCCCAGACUCCUACGGGAGGCAGCAGUGGGGAAUCUUAGACAAUGGGCGCAAGCCUGAUCUAGCCAUGCCGCGUGAGCGAUGAAGGCCUUAGGGUUGUAAAGCUCUUUCAGCUGGGAAGAUAAUGACUGUACCAGCAGAAGAAGCCCCGGCUAACUCCGUGCCAGCCGCCGCCGUAACAC
rnacentral:rRNA from 1 species